UACGAGGGGGGCGAGCGUUGUUCGGAAUUAUUGGGCGUAAAGGGCGCGUAGGCGGUGCGGUAAGUCACCUGUGAAACCUCUAGGCUUAACCUAGAGCCUGCAGGCGAAACUGCCGUGCUGGAGUGUGGGAGAGGUGCGUGGAAUUCCGAGUGUAGAGGUGAAAUUCGUAGAUAUUCGGAGGAACACCAGUGGCGAAGGCGGCUCACUGGUCCAUUACUGACGCUGAGGUGCGAAAGCGUGGGGAGCAAACAGG
rnacentral:rRNA from 1 species